rnacentral:lncRNA from 1 species
AGCCAUGAGCCACUGUACCCGCGCCUGACCUGUUGUACAGGUUUCUGAGUUAAGAUAGCAAAGGUAUCUGAAGCGUUUCUUUCCAAAUUUUUGCUCAUAUUGAAGUAAUUCUUUUUUAAAAACUGCCAGUACACUAAAAAUUAAUGUCAGCAUUUCUGAAACUUAACUUUCCUCCUUUCACUACUUUCUCAUUUCUUCUCUCCUUCAUUAACAGAAAAUCUGCUUUUACCUCAUCACAUCUAAAUCCUCCAAUUUAUGCCUGUCCCCUCUCUCUUGCCUUCAUUUCUCUCAACGUAACCUUCCCCCUUGAUGUUCUCUCAAAGCAGAUUGUUAAAGAAGUGAACCCAGCCCCUUAAUUCUUUCUCUCAUAUGCUCUUUUGCCCUUCUGCUAUGAGAUGACCUUCACAGAUGCCAGGGCCAUGUUCUUCGACUUCCCAGGUUCUGAGCCAAAUAAUCUUCUAUUCUUUAUAAAUUACCCAGUCGGUGAUAUCCUGUUCCAUCAGCAGAAAAGGGACUAAGACAUUAAUCUAUCAAAUUAAAGAUAUUUCUUGCUACUUCUAGCCUAAGAAUUUGUGUGAAUAGUUGUACUGUUUCAUUAAUUUUUUCCAGAAUCUAUUGGGAUAUUUUUUAAUCUGACAAUAUUGUGAAAUACAUCAAAAGAUGUCCUAAUGUUUAGCCAUCUUUACAUUUCUGGGAUAAAUCUUACUUUGUCAUGAUGUAUUAAUCUUAUAACUGAAUGCUGAACGUAUAAUAUAUUCGAUUUACAUUUUAGUCAAAACUUCUAAAUGUUAGUGUUAAAGCAGUUUAUCUCAAUUUGUUGAAGUAUAUUUCUACCCAAUACUAAGUAAAUGUACUUUUAGUGUAAGAAUUUUAUGCCCAGAUUCCAGCAGAAUUUUGUUAUUUUGCUCCUGAAAAUUGUUUGCUUCUAUUAAUAGAUACUAACUGUUCAAUGUUUUAUAUUUGUAUUUAGCAUGCA